rnacentral:rRNA from 1 species
GACAGAGGUGCCGAGCGUUAGGCGGAAUCACUGGGCUUAAAGCGUGUGUAGGCGGGCCGUUAAGUAUCUUGUGAAAUCCCCCGGCUCAACCGGGGAAUGGCUGGAUAUACUGGCGGUCUUGAGCGAUCUAGGGGCAGAUGGAACAAGUGGUGGAGCGGUGAAAUGCGCAGAUAUCACUUGGAACGCCAAAGGUGAAAACAGUCUGCUGGGGAUCUGCUGACGCUGAGACACGAAAGCCAGGGGAGCGAACGGG